CUCCUACCACACCACACCACUCCUGAGUUAUGUUCAAAUGCGCAGCGUGCGGAGGAAAUGAAUGCGGAUCAGCCUGCCGCACCACCAGCGGUGGUCGACGACCGCGAGGGAUCGAACCCGUGACCUCGUUGGGGACGGCGUGGGACGAGGAAUGACGCUGUUGGUGGAAGCGCUAGCCAAUUGCGUCCUCGGUGCCAUCCAUCACGCCGCACGCGACGCACCGGCUGGGAGGCCCCCCUCCGGGUAGCCGCCGGUGGCGCUUUCGGCGGCGUGAUUGGUGGCCGUGAGUGGCCUUGCCCGACGUCAACCCGGUUCCAAGUGCUGCCGUCCCUUCCUUCCCUAACUUUGCAGGCGGCGGCCAAACAGGCCUGGAUCUAUAUCCAGUUGGCGACUGGCCUGUUCCCGAGCGGCAGCCACCUCGGAGCUCCGCUUCCUUGGGGCCAUCCCCUAGGUUGUGUCAUGACACAUUGGCUUGGAGGCUCCCUUGAGCAGACGCCGGUGAAUCAGUGGCUGCAGCGUGGGGUUGGAACCGUGGGUCGGGGGUCUGUUGUGAUAACCGUUGGUGGAUUGCGCAGUCAGUGCAAGGUCUGAGCCAUCAACAGAUUUCACUUUCCGGCUGCAAUUUUUCAAUUUGAUUUGGAGCUCUUCCCCUUCCUCCCCUUUCAGUAUUCCACUCUGUAUCCACCCUUCACUGGAUGUGGCCAUAUGGAGUUUCCUGUGGAAUUCAUCUGGGGAAAAUCUGUGUUCCAAACAAGCGCUAAACUACAUCUUCCUCCAGUCUGCUCUCGCCUCUUUCUGUGCUCAUAUGAUGUGCAUGUACCAUUGCACCUGUCCUGGAUUGGUGUUCUUCAUUCCCUUUCCUGCCAGGUUUGAAUCUAUGACGUGGGUUAUGGUAAUGGGACAUAACAUGUCAACCUCAGUAGUGUCCCCCCUCAUGUAAGACCAUGUUGAGGAGUUGCAUGGCCCUUUUAAAUGUUGUGAUGAGUAAUUGCCAAACAAAUUUGCCAAUUAUGCCCCCACUAGUUGCCUGUCCGGUCAUCCUAUGUCGAUUCCCAACUGUGUCUUCUACAUGCAUGAAGAGCAGAGAAAGCAAAAUGAAACGACGCAAGGGCAUCAUAAUCACCAACAAGGGGCAGUGAUGAUGAUCACAUUAGCAUGACUUCAACCAUCUGGUGGAACCAAAUGUUGUGUAAUGUAUGCAAUGAAGAAAUGCAAUCCUGAUGAGGGGCUAUGAUGAACGACCAUGGCUGAAACAAGCGCCUUUGAGCAAUCAGGGCUGCUGUGGGUAUCAAAUUGUCACCCUCCCUCAUCUCUUGGAACCUUCUCAAUCAUGCUCUGAUCUUUGUUGCUCUAUCCUUGGACGGUCAUUCUUGUUGGGUGAUAACCAGGGCAGAACUACUAAAAUUAGAACGGAUUGAUCUGUUGAUAAGAGAGUGAGGGUAGGGUUGUAUGAUAGAGCAAAGGCGAAGCUGAGCCCAUCCAAAGGAUACUGCUACGAUCACAAUAUUUUGCUUUUUUUUCCUUACUUUUUUUUUUUUCAUAUGAAGCUGUUUCUGAUCGUAUCUGUUCUUUGGUAUAUCUGAUCUUUGAUUAUUUAACUAUCCAAUCUGAUUUCUUCACACUUCUAUUUUUGGAUAAACUGUGUGCAAACUAUCUUCAGUAUUUCCUAUUCCUAUGUUCCAAAAAGGCCCAAUUUUUUCUGGUUGUUUUCAUGAUAAAUGGACCAACAUUUUUUGGGUUCCUGCCGCCCUCGCUUAGUUUCAUCUCUAGACCACCUGUACUUGUAUUUGAUUUUACUACCACAAGCUAUUUUUACCACACUAUUUGCAUUAUUUCGUCUAUUUUUAAGUAAUGGGCUUACCACAGCAAUUUUGCUAUGUACCGGUGCUGAUCUUACAUGUUGGGUCACCACUUGUAUAAUUAAUGGGCCUACACUCAGCCUACUGUUCUCGCUAUAGUCAAUAACCACAACUUUCAUUUUCGAGAUCUCACUUACUCUAAUUCAUGCUCAAUGAAGGAAAGUGGAGGAUUAAAACUGGUACCUUAGGAUGGGCAGUGAUAGUUUAAAAUGGAUGAAAUAUGCAUGCCUUGGAGACGUCUAUGGUCAGAAGUACAUUGACUUGCAUAGCGUCUUGAAGAUUGUGUUCUGAAGGCGAACAAGGCCAGUGACAGGGAGGAAAUGUGGUCAAGCGAACAUGGUUCGAUGUUUGAUUAUGUGCAGGUGUCCUGAAUAUGGUUGGUGAUAGAAACUCUGACUACGUUCAGGGAUGAACUAAGAUUAAGGCGGACAGAAUGGCAUGUGAUAUAUUCGGGCAAAGGAACUAUGAAUGGGAAAAUGAUCACACUGUUAGUUAUAUGUAGAGAUGUAUGGGCUACGGUGUAAUGAUCAAAGAUGUACAGAAGUGAGUUAUGACAAGGUGCGUCGCCGCAUAGACAUACGUGAGUGGAAUGGUCUAGUGGCACAUUGGAGAGGAGGUCAAGGUGCACGCAUUGGAGGCCUAACGAAUCUUGUCCGCUGGCACGUUCAUCGGUUGGUCUGGAAUUUCCAUUGUUGUUUUCGCCCAUGAAGUGGUCUGGAAUCUCCUUAGCUGUGCUGUUGGGGCUGUUACGUUUCCUCAUGGAUGCUUAAUCGGAAGUGGGCGGCCGCCCUUGAUAAUCUUGUACAGGACCCUCUUCGCUAGCAUCUCCAUUAUGGUUUGUAAUAUACGGAUUUGCUGUGCAUUGGCAGCUGCCCAUAUUUUAUACCGUGAAGCGAAAUUAACAAGUUUAGUUUCCUUCUGAAA